rnacentral:lncRNA from 1 species
ACUCCCUGUUCGAGAGCACUGCAGCCCCUAGCCGGGACUUCAGCCUAGUAAGGAAGUCACCCGGGACCGCAGUUUAUGAAGUAUUCAGUCCAUGGCGAAUACAGUCCCUGUCCAUCAUGAACCGGGCCUGGCCUGGUCAUCUGGCCCGGUGGCGACGCGCCCCUGCGGUGGGCGUGGGGCGGGGAGUUCAGCCUGCAGGAGUGCCCAGGGCAGCCUCGUGGGGAGGCUGUUCUACUGACACUGGUGCUUCCAUCCCCACGUAGAAGGAUGCGACAACUCCAAGAGGGAAUUCAAAAAUGAAAACAGUCUGCAAAUUUAAAACCAGAACCUGAAACAGCCAACUCAAAGCCCUCACCACAGUUUAAAACCCCUGGGUGAAGUGGAAGAAAUGAAGUGGUUAUUAGCUACAAAGCACCACUGUCAACAUGCCCCACACGGAAAGAUGCCAGUGGACCAGCAUAAGUAACAACCUGCCACCAAGGACUCCAAAGGUUGCAGAAAGCCCCUGGGAGAAGGUUUACCAGAAGUGGCCCUCAAGGGUCUGAGCUUGCCUGCCAAGCUAGCUGCCUUAGCCUUUUUCUGCUGCAGGGGAGACCAGCCGUGGGUGCCUUGGAGGAGGUACCUCCUUCCUUAAGUUAUGGGGAGGCUGAAAGAUACCAUUCAAGUGUUAGAUCAGCCAUGAAAGACGGAACGCACAGCAUGUUGACUGAGGGAYUAUAUCAGGGCUGUAUCACUGAGCAGCUGAGUGUGGUUCCUGUUGGCAUUCAGAAAGGCCACAGACCUCAGGACUGCUGGAUGAGAGGCAUAUCCUAA